rnacentral:rRNA from 1 species
UACGAAGAGGGCUAGCGUUGUUCGGAAUUACUGGGCGUAAAGCGCACGUAGGCGGACUACUAAGUCAGGGGUGAAAUCCCGGGGCUCAACCCCGGAACUGCCUUUGAUACUGAGAGUCUCGAGUCCGGAAGAGGUGAGUGGAAUUCCGAGUGUAGAGGUGAAAUUCGUAGAUAUUCGGAGGAACACCAGUGGCGAAGGCGGCUCACUGGUCCGGUACUGACGCUGAGGUGCGAAAGCGUGGGGAGCAAACAGG